AUCGAACGCUGGCGGCAGGCCUAACACAUGCAAGUCGAACGAGCGGCGGACGGGUGAGUAAUGCCUGGGAAACUGUCUGACGGAGGGGGCUAACUACCGGAAACCGUAGCCAAUACUGCACACCAUCAUUUGGGCCCAGAUGAGAUUAUCUUGUAGGUGGGGCAACGGCUCACCAAGGCGACGAUGCCUGUCUGGUCUGAGAGGAUGACCAGCCACGCUGGAACUGAAGCACGGUCCAGACUCCUGCGUGAGGCAGCAGUAGGGAAUAUUAGACAAUGGGCGCAAGCCUGAUGGAGCCAUGCAACGUAUAUGAAGAAGACCUUCGAGUUGUAAAAUACUUUCAGCGGAGAGGCGUUACCCGAAGAGAAAGCACCGGCUAACUCCGUGCCAGCAGCCGCGGUAAUAC
rnacentral:rRNA from 1 species